UACCAGCACCCCGAGUGGUCGGGACGAUUAUUGGGCCUAAAGCACCCGUAGCCGGUCAUGCAAGUCCUCCGUUAAAUCCACCUGCUUAACAGAUGGGCUGCGGAGGAUACUAUGGAGCUAGGAGGCGGGAGAGGCAAGCGGUACUUAGUGGGUAGGGGUAAAAUCCGUUGAUCCAUUGAAGACCACCAGUGGCGAAGGCGGCUUGCCAGAACGCACUCGACGGUGAGGGAUGAAAGCUGGGGGAGCAAACCGG
rnacentral:rRNA from 1 species